rnacentral:rRNA from 1 species
UACGUAGGGCGCAAGCGUUUGUCCGGAAUUAUUGGGCGUAAAGAGCUCGUAGGCGGUCUGUUGCGUCUGCCGUGAAAACCCGAGGCUUAACCUCGGGCCUGCGGUGGAUACGGGCAGACUAGAGGUAGGUAGGGGAGAACGGAAUUCCCGGUGUAGCGGUGAAAUGCGCAGAUAUCGGGAGGAACACCGGUGGCGAAGGCGGUUCUCUGGGCCUUACCUGACGCUGAGGAGCGAAAGCGUGGGGAGCGAACGGG